rnacentral:sRNA from 1 species
AUUUAGUAGGACGACGCCGUUUUGAAGAGCAGCUUCCUUAGGGGUCCUCGCACUCUCGUUCAAAGCUUCAUUUGGAGAAAGGAAAAGCACUCCCUCGAGCUAGGGCAUGUGCGAAAGAAAGAGAGAAUGUGAAAAGAGUAAAGCUCUCAAUGCUCAAGCCACUUGCCCAGAAAGCGCGAUCCUGACCAUAGAAGACGAUCGGUGAGAAGCUCCAGUUGAUCGGAAGGCUGGAGUUGAAGAAGUAAAGAGGGUUGUCCGAUUGAGAAGAGGAAGCGUAAAGGAGAAGUUUCAAGAGUUGUCAAGGUUUCCUUUUUCCCUUUCCCUCUAUCUCUGACCCUAUAAAAAGGGCAUGUAAAUAGUUUUGUGUGGUAACACGGAGGGUGAGAGGCUCCGUGAGGGACGAUUCGAGAGAGCGAGUGGAGGGUGACAGACUCCACGAGAGCAGUGGGUGACAGACGCUGCGCGUAGGGUACAGAUCGCGAUUCAUUUCUAGUAUAGGUCAACCAUAUUGGGUCGCUGCAAUUGGGUUGAGCUUUAGUUAAACGACGUCGUUUUGGCUGGUCUGCUACUGCUCUGGAAUUUGCUCGAGCUCAUCACUUCAUUUGCCACAUUCGAAGCACCAAUGUGCUAGGGUUUCCAGUGAGCGUGAGAGAGGGAGAAGAAGAGCACAUGCAAUCAUGACCGAAGCUUGAAGUUGAACCAGAGGCACGUGCGGGAAGCUUAAUCAGCAGAAAGGAAGAAGAAAGAUGAAGAGGUACGGUGGAGGGUGACAGACUCCACUCGAGUGUGUUGUGGUAUCGCGGAGGGUUACAGACUCCGCACGAGAGUUCUUUGUGAGAGAUUUCGGUUUUCUUAGUGUUUUGACUUGCCUUUCGUAGUAUAGAUUCUGGACCGUGAUUGAGAAAUCACGGUGGUCACAGCCGUGGUGGUCUCAAUCAUGCUUUUCUCAGUGACUUUACCUUGUAUUUCCAUUUCAAUUUCAAUGAAUUUCUGCGUUUUCAUUUUAAUGUUCUUGUCCAAUUUAUGUUUUUGUUCUUUAUUUUGAUGCUUGCACUACUUUUAUAUUUUCCAGCAUUUAAUUUUGUUUCCAUUU